rnacentral:rRNA from 1 species
UACGUAGGGGGCAAGCGUUGUCCGGAAUUAUUGGGCGUAAAGCGCGCGCAGGCGGUUCUUUAAGUCUGGUGUUUAAACCCGGGGCUCAACCCCGGAUCGCACUGGAAACUGGGGGACUUGAGUACAGAAGAGGAAAGUGGAAUUCCACGUGUAGCGGUGAAAUGCGUAGAGAUGUGGAGGAACACCAGUGGCGAAGGCGACUUUCUGGGCUGUAACUGACGCUGAGGCGCGAAAGCGUGGGGAGCAAACAGG